rnacentral:lncRNA from 1 species
CUCAACUAUGUGGGUUUCAGCAACUGAACUCAAGUCUUCAGCUUUCCCCAUCAGAUACGAGCUCUGCAAGGAAACUACAAGCACGGAUUCUUCAGAUGCCUUCAGUUGAUAUACAAAAUGCCUGUCGUCUUUGAUAGCUUUAAUUGUCAACUUGGCCCAGACUAGAGGACCUGAGAGGGGAGUUUCAAUUAAGGAACUGAUUACAUCAGAUGGGCAUGUUUGUAGGGGGUUAUCUUGACUGGUAAUUGACAGGAAAGGGCACAUCCCACUGUGGGUGGCACCGCUGCCUAGUUAAGUGGUUUUGAAUCACCAAUCCUAAGCUGGCAAGUGAGCCAGAAAACAGUCUCCUCCAUGGUUCCUGCUCAACUUUCUGUCUGUGAAGUGAGCUCCCCGGUCAGUGACCACGCCUCACGAAACAGCAAGAAGGCCUCCCUUCAGUUUCCUGACUUGCCUUCCUGCAUUAACAGACCGUGACCCGGAAUUAUAAGCAGAAUAAACUCUUUCCUUUUC